GCGGCGGGGGAAGAGGACGAGGAGGAAGAAGCUGCGAGCGGAGCGGCGGUGCCAGCGGCCCCUUCCCGGGGUGCGGCGGGGACGGAGCCCGCGGGUGUCCGACCGCGGUGUCCCCCGUGUCCCCACGUGCAGGCUCCUCCGUGUUGCUCUCUGAAAGCAUUUCAAGCUCGACACACAGAAGCUGUUUCUCAGUGAGCAGCUGUGGGGCAUUUGGCUGAUGGUUUUGACAGCAGAGAUGAAUUGAGGACGUGGCAUCUGCAGUCCUGACCUGGAAUUUGAACCCUUCGGUGCCUCUCCCUCCUCCCAGAUGGAGAGAGGCGGAAGAUCUCGGAAUCUUCUGAUUGCCAUCGAUCUGAUUUUGCUGAGCACUGGCCUCGUAUCACGUCUGUGUGUUCCGUGAGAGAUGAUUUCAAUCUGAAAAAAAGCCCUGCUUUUUUAUCAUCUGUGUCCAAAACCUCCAGCAGAAACUCCAUGAUUGGAGCAAUUUGGUCCAAUGCCAGGAGAAGGGACUGCUCCACACACUUUAGGAAGAGCAAAAAGGAGGAAGAAAAGAAGGUAGAGCCCUCUGUGCUGUGCCUGAUCACUCAUCAAAGCCAGCUGCCUCCUGUGCUGGCUUGAGGACGUGACAGAUGUCUGUAGCCUUUACAGGUGCAGGGCCUGCAUUUCAUCAGUCUUUUUUCCAUGGAUGACCUGGAGUGUGGAUUAUUAGCAGCUCAGAUUUCUUUGGCCAAGGUGCUUUGUUGUGUACACGUCCGGGUUAAAUCUAAGCAAUAUUUCUGAUCCAUGUAGGCUUCUGACUCAGUCCUGCAUCUUUGGUGUUUACAAAAUGAUCAGAGUUUGAACUCUCCCUGUUCUCUUUCUUAAAUGUCAGCAGAUUUUUUUAAAUUUUUUUUUAAUAAAACAAUGCAGCCUUCCCCUGCGGUGUUUGUGACCAAGAAACUGUGGCAUCACAAGAGCAUGAGGAAAUACUGGCUGAUUAAAACCAGGGUAAGAAAUGACAGCGAAAGUGUUUGUCUUUUUUUUUUUUUUUCCUCAUUUCAGAAUUCACAAUGAAGUGGCUGGUAAAAUGGGACCAGCUGGUUCAGCCCCACUAGGGCUGAAUACAAUGUUUAAUGUGCUGAAACUACUUCCACUGGCAAACUUUAGUGUGAUAAUUUAAUUUCUCAUGUAAAGCACAUCUCACAGCAUGGCUUUUUCCUUACUUCCCUCUGUUUUGACAAAGUAAAGUAAGUUUGGGCUA